rnacentral:lncRNA from 1 species
UUUGUCUUCAAAAGCUGGGAUCUUUGGGUUUAUCGUAUACUGUCUUGCUGAGAUCGCUUUCCCCCAGUCUAUUCCACUGAUCUUCCUUUCUGUUUCUUAGCCAGUACCAAAUUGUUUUGAUGACUGCUGCUUUGUAAUAUAGUUUUAGGUCAGGGACUGCAAGGCCCCCAUCAUAUGUGUUUUUUUUCAUUAUUUCCCUGGAUAUCCUUGAUCUUUUGUUCUUCCAAAUGAACUUUGUUAUGGUUUUUUCUAAAUCAGUGAAGAAGUAUUUUGGUAGUUCAAUGGGUAUGGCACUAAAUAGAUAAAUAAGUUUGGGUAGGAUGGUCAUUUUUAUUAUAUUGGCUCGUCCUAUCCAUGAGCAGUUAAUGUUUUUCCAUUUGUUCAAGUCUAGUUUUAGUUGUGUGGCGAGUGUUUUGUAGUUGUGUUCAUAUAGUUCCUGUGUUUGUCUUGGGAGGUAGAUUCCUAGGUAUUUUAUUUUGUCUAAGGUGAUUUUGAAUGGGAUUUCUCUUUCUAGUUCUUGCUGCUGAGCUGUGUUGGAGAUAUAUAGAAAAGCUGAUGAUUUAUGUGGGUUUAUUUUGUAUCCUGCAACUUUGCUAAAGUUGUUGAUUAUUUCAAUUAGCUUUUUGGUUGAAUCUCUAGGAUUCUUUAAGUAGACCAUCAUGUCAUCCGCAAAGAGUGAUAACUUGGUCUCCUCCUUGCCUAUUUUGAUGCCUUCAAUUCCUUUAUCUUCUCUAAUUGCUACUGCUAGUGUUUCUAGUACAAUGUCAAAUAGUAGAGGUGAUAAUGGGCAUCCUUGUUUCACUCCUGAUCUUAUUGGGAAUGCAUCUAGUUUAUCCCCAUUGCAGAUAUUAGUUGAUGGUUUUAGAUAUAUAUACUGUUUAUUAUUUUUAGGAACGACCCUUCUAUUCCUAUGCUUUCUAGUGUUUUUAAUAGGAAUGGGUGUUGUAUUUUAUCAAAGGCUUUUUCUGCUUCUAUUGAGAUAAUCAUGUGGUUCUUGUUGGUUUGCUUGUUGAUGUGGUCAAUUAUGUGGAUGGUUUUCCUAAUAUUGAACCACAGUCCAGCAGUCAAUGAGGAUGGAUAGGGAGCCUGGGCUUCCCUGCGUUCUGGAGACUUUUGAUGGGAUUGAGUUCAGCUUAGUUGGGCUGGGUUUACUCUGAGUUUUAAACUUCCUAGAUGGCUAGAGCAAAUAUGGAGGAUCUCCAAAGCUCUGGCCAGGCUGCCAAGUCUAUGCUCCUUCUAGGCUGCCAUCUUGACCUUACCUCUAGAUUUCUGUUUUUUUCAGAAGACCCUGCUCUCUAAGGGGGGAGGUAUAUGGCCUCCCUGGGCUCUGAGGGCUCCUGAUGGGAUUAGGUUCACCUGAUUUGGGCGGAAUGAGCCCUGAAGCAAAAAACCUAUUCCUCCACAAUCUGUGUUGAAUGCCUGGAGACCAGCAGGGGUUGUUUUCAAGUAAGCCCUUCACAGGAACUGAGGUUUUUGUUCUUUCAGAAGCUCUGAGGGCUCCUGAUGGGAUUAGGUUCAGGUGGUGUGGGCCGAAUGAUCCCCAAGCCAAAAAAAAGGAAGAAAAAAAAACAACCUCCUCCUCCACAGUCUGUGUUGAAUGCCUGGAGACAGGCCCAGGUUACUUUCAAGGCAAGCUCUUCGGAGCAACCUCUUUGCCAGC